GUCUGUAAGUUUGUUUGUUUACAGUCUGGCCUGCCCACUGAGUUUUAAAGGGCCGCGGUAAUUUGACCGUGCGAAGGUAGCAUAAUCACUAGUUUUUUAAUUGAAGGCUUGUAUGAAUGGUCGGACGAAGAAUUAGCUGUCUUUUUGUUAUUUUGAAUUUAACUUUUAAGUGAAAAGGCUUAAAUUGACUGGAGGGACGAUAAGACCCUAUAAAACUUUAUAUGAUUUUUUUGUGGUAUAAUGAUUAUUGUUUAAAUUUACUUUAAUUCUGUCAUAUUUUGUUGGGGCGAUAUUUAUAUAAUUUGUAACUGUUUUUUUGAUUUAAUAGGUAUAAUUAGGUUUUGAUCCUUUAUUAAAGAUUAAUAGAUUAAGUUACUUUAGGGAUAACAGCGUAAUUUUCUCUGAGAGUUCUUAUCGACGAGAGUAGUUGCGACCUCGAUGUUGAAUUAAAAUUUCAGAUUGGUGUAGCCGCUUUUCUGGUAGGUCUGUUCGACCUUUAAAAUUUU
rnacentral:rRNA from 1 species